UAAUACGAAGGGUGCAAGCGUUAAUCGGAAUUACUGGGCGUAAAGCGUGCGUAGGCGGUUCGCUAAGUCUGCCGUGAAAGCCCCGGGCUCAACCUGGGAAUUGCGGUGGAUACUGGCGAGCUGGAGUGUGGUAGAGGAGGGUGGAAUUCCCGGUGUAGCGGUGAAAUGCGUAGAGAUCGGGAGGAACAUCAGUGGCGAAGGCGGCCCUCUGGACCAACACUGACGCUGAGGCACGAAAGCGUGGGGAGCAAACAGG
rnacentral:rRNA from 1 species